rnacentral:misc_RNA from 1 species
UGCGGGACGAAGGCUUUUGGGUCGUAAACCGCUUUUGUUAGGGAAGAACACAAUGACGGUACCUAACGAAUCAGCAUCGGCUAACUCCGUGCCAGCAGCCGCGGUAAUACGGAGGAUGCAAGCGUUAUCCGGAAUUAUUGGGCGUAAAGCGUCCGCAGGUGGUUUAUCAAGUCUGCUGUUAAAUCGUAGGGCUUAACCCUAUAAAGGCAGUGGAAACUGACAGACUAGAGUACGGUAGGGGUAGCGGGAAUUCCCAGUGUAGCGGUGAAAUGCGUAGAUAUUGGGAAGAACACCAGCGGCGAAGGCGCGCUACUAGGCCGAAACUGACACUCAUGGACGAAAGCUAGGGGAGCGAAAGGGAUUAGAUACCCCUGUAGUCCUAGCUGUAAACGAUGACAACUAGGUGUUGCGCGUAUCGACCCGUGCAGUGCCGUAGCUAACGCGUUAAGUUGUCCGCCUGGGGAGUACGCACGCAAGUGUGAAACUCAAAGGAAUUGACGGGGGCCCGCACAAGCGGUGGAGUAUGUGGUUUAAUUCGAUGCAACGCGAAGAACCUUACCAGGGCUUGACAUGUCGCGAAUCCCGGUGAAAGUCGGGAGUGCCUUCGGGAGCGCGAACACAGGUGGUGCAUGGCUGUCGUCAGCUCGUGUCGUGAGAUGUUGGGUUAAGUCCCGCAACGAGCGCAACCCUCGUUUCUAGUUGCCAUCAUUAAGUUGGGCACUCUAGAGAGACUGCCGGUGACAAACCGGAGGAAGGUGGGGAUGACGUCAAGUCAGCAUGCCCCUUACGCCCUGGGCUACACACGUACUACAAUGCUAUGGACAAAGAGUUGCAAGCCAGCGAUGGCAAGCUAAUCUCGUAAACCAUGGCUCAGUUCAGAUUGCAGGCUGCAACUCGCCUGCAUGAAGGAGGAAUCGCUAGUAAUCGCAGGUCAGCAUACUGCGGUGAAUACGUUCCCGGGCCUUGUACACACCGCCCGUCACACCAUGGGAGUUGGCCACGCCCGAAGUCGUUACUCCAACCGUAAGGAGGGGAACGCCGAAGGCAGGGCUGAUGACUGGGGUGAAGUCGUAACAAGGUAGCCGUACCGGAAGGUGUGGCUGGAUCACCUCCUUUAAGGGAGACCUCCCGCUAUACCGCGUUUUAGAGCGUAGAGUAUAGACGGUCAACCUAAGGUCGUUCGAGGACUAUAUUUCAAGAGGCUUUCAAACUAUCUAGGGAACGGAAAUGGGCUAUUAGCUCAGGUGGUUAGAGCGCACCCCUGAUAAGGGUGAGGUCCCUGGUUCGAGUCCAGGAUGGCCCACCAUUUAUUACGAGGGGGUUUAGCUCAGUUGGUAGAGCGCCUGCUUUGCAAGCAGGAUGUCAACGGUUCGAGUCCGUUAACCUCCACUUGAGUGCAAUAUUUUUCCAGCACUUUAUCUCAAGGCAAUAUUGAGCCAUUGAGAAAUAUUGCUGGGUGAAUGUCCAGUUAGAACCUUGAAAACUGCAUAGUAACUUGUCAGGUAGAAACGAUAGCUAAUGAAUAGCCUUUACACGUUGUGUGAAGAGGUUGUGUUAGUAGCUGUUGUGACACAGACACCAAUGUAAAACUCAAGAAAAUUGAGAAUAGUGUCAAGCUUUUUUCGUGGCAUUUUGAAU